CGCCUGGGUCUGGAGUACUGGGGGUCACCUCCCAGCCUCCUGACCCUUGGACUCCACGGUAGGGCGAGAGUGGACCCCGCGUCCGAGGACCAAACCGGAGCGUGGGCCUCCACUUCUCUGCAGAAGAGCCACGAAGGUGUACAAGUGUUUCACUGCUGUGUACGGUGUGCACCACAUGCGUGCCUGAGGCCUAAGGAGGCCAGAAGAGUGCAUCACAUUCCCUGAGACUGGAGUUAUAGGUGGCUGUCUUAGUUAGGGUUUUACUGCUGUGAACAGACACCAUGACCAAGCAGAACCAGAGAGGACCGGUUAGAGAUCUGCACAGCUCAGAAGAAGAAAGGGAGGAAAGAAAGGUGGAAUCUCCAUAUACUGUCUGGCCCUAUAGCCUCAGGCUGGCUGGGGAUGCUCCUGCCAUGGCACACUGGCCUUGGAUAAACUGACCCCUGGGCCACCAUGAAACAGCAGCAAGUGCCACCUCUGAGCACAUGCCCUAAGUGUCUACCUAUGUCCUGAUGAGUCACCCAGACUGCUCACCCACUACCCCUGAAGCUCAUCUGCUGGGUCCCCAGCAACUUGGUAUGAUUCACCCUUGUUCUGCAGUUUCUGUCUGAGCCUACUGUGGGGAAAGACUGUUGCUUGGCCUUUGUAAGUAAAGAGCUUGCACGUCUC
rnacentral:lncRNA from 1 species